UGUGUCGACGGACAGACACGCCCUUCAAGGAAGAGGGGAAUGGACAUCGCAGGAUGCGAUUCAUCAGGACGAUGAAAGGGAACACAGGGAAUAGGGAAAAAUGUGGGCGGGUCAAACCGCCCCUUUUUUU
rnacentral:sRNA from 1 species